rnacentral:tRNA from 1 species
AUUUAAAUAGCUUAUAAUUAGAGCAUAAUAUUGAAGAUAUUAAGGAAAUAUUUAUAUAUUUUUA